rnacentral:rRNA from 1 species
UACGGAGGAUUCAAGCGUUAUCCGGAUUUAUUGGGUUUAAAGGGUGCGUAGGCGGUUCGAUAAGUUAGAGGUGAAAUCCCGGGGCUCAACUCCGGCACUGCCUCUGAUACUGUCGGGCUAGAGUUUAGUUGCGGUAGGCGGAAUGUAUGGUGUAGCGGUGAAAUGCAUAGAGAUCAUACAGAACACCGAUUGCGAAGGCAGCUUACCAAACUACGACUGACGUUGAGGCACGAAAGCGUGGGGAGCAAACAGG